rnacentral:rRNA from 1 species
GGACGUCGACCGGCGCACGGGUGAGUAACGCGUAUUCAACCUACCCAUUACUGUGGGAUAACCUGCCGAAAGGCAGACUAAUACCGCAUAGUCUUCGAUGACGGCAUCAGAUUUGAAGUAAAGAUUUAUCGGUAAUGGAUGGGGAUGCGUCUGAUUAGCUUGUUGGCGGGGUAACGGCCCACCAAGGCAACGAUCAGUAGGGGUUCUGAGAGGAAGGUCCCCCACAUUGGAACUGAGACACGGUCCAAACUCCUACGGGAGGCAGCAGUGAGGAAUAUUGGUCAAUGGGCGCGAGCCUGAACCAGCCAAGUAGCGUGCAGGAUGACGGCCCUAUGGGUUGUAAACUGCUUUUGUAUGGGGAUAAAGUCAAUCACGUGUGAUUGUUUGCAGGUACCAUACGAAUAAGGACCGGCUAAUUCCGUGCCAGCAGCCGCGGUAAUACGGAAGGUCCGGGCGUUAUCCGGAUUUAUUGGGUUUAAAGGGAGCGUAGGCCGGAGAUUAAGUGUGUUGUGAAAUGUAGACGCUCAACGUCUGACUUGCAGCGCAUACUGGUUUCCUUGAGUACGCACAACGUUGGCGGAAUUCGUCGUGUAGCGGUGAAAUGCUUAGAUAUGACGAAGAACUCCGAUUGCGAAGGCAGCUGACGGGAGCGCAACUGACGCUUAAGCUCGAAGGUGCGGGUAUCGAACAGGAUUAGAUACCCUGGUAGUCCGCACAGUAAACGAUGGAUGCCCGCUGUUGGUACCUG